rnacentral:rRNA from 1 species
ACGGAAGGCAGCAGUGAGGAAUAUUGGUCAAUGGACGAGAGUCUGAACCAGCCAAGUAGCGUGCAGGAUGACGGCCCUCCGGGUUUUAAACUGCUUUUAGUUGGGAAUAAAAGAGAUCACGUGUGGUCUAUUGUAUGUACCAUCAGAAAAAGGACCGGCUAAUUCCGUGCCAGCAGCCGCGGUAAUACGGAAGGUCCGGGCGUUAUCCGGAUUUAUUGGGUUUAAAGGGAGCGUAGGCGGGCCUUUAAGUCAGUGGUAAAAGCGGGUGGCUCAACCAUGGCACGCUAUUGAAACUGGAGGCCUUGAGUGCAGACAGGGAUGCUGGAAUUCGUAGUGUAGCGGUGAAAUGCUUAGAUAUGACGAAGAACUCCGAUCGCGAAGGCAGGUGUCCGGGGUGUAACUGACGCUGAGGCUCGAAAGUGCGGGUAUCAAACAGGAUUAGAUACCCUGGUA